AUGAACGCUGGCGGCGUGCCUAAUCCAUGCAAGUCGAGCGAACGGACGAGAAGCUUGCUUUUCUGAUGUUAGCGGCGGACGGGUGAGUAACACGUGGAUAACCUACCUAUAAGACUGGGAUAACUUCGGGAAACCGGAGCUAAUACCGGAUAAUAUUUUGAACCGCAUGGUUCAAAAGUGAAAGACGGUCUUGCUGUCACUUAUAGAUGGAUCCGCGCUGCAUUAGCUAGUUGGUAAGGUAACGGCUUACCAAGGCAACGAUGCAUAGCCGACCUGAGAGGGUGAUCGGCCACACUGGAACUGAGACACGGUCCAGACUCCUACGGGAGGCAGCAGUAGGGAAUCUUCCGCAAUGGGCGAAAGCCUGACGGAGCAACGCCGCGUGAGUGAUGAAGGUCUUCGGAUCGUAAAACUCUGUUAUUAGGGAAGAACAUGUGUGUAAGUAACUGUGCACAUCUUGACGGUACCUAAUCAGAAAGCCACGGCUAACUACGUG
rnacentral:rRNA from 1 species